rnacentral:rRNA from 1 species
UGGGGAAUUUUCCGCAAUGGGGGCAACCCUGACGGAGCAACGCCGCGUGCGGGAGGAAGGCCUUUGGGUUGUAAACCGCUUUUCAGCGGGGACGAUGAUGACGGUACCCGCAGAAGAAGCCCCGGCUAACUCCGUGCCAGCAGCCGCGGUAAUACGGAGGGGGCAAGCGUUGUUCGGAAUUACUGGGCGUAAAGGGCGCGUAGGCGGCAUAUCAAGUCAGAGGUGAAAGCUCCGGGCUCAACCUGGGAAUUGCCUUUGAAACUGAUGAGCUAGAGUCCGGAAGAGGAUAGCGGAAUUCCCAGUGUAGAGGUGAAAUUCGUAGAUAUUGGGAAGAACACCAGUGGCGAAGGCGGCUAUCUGGUCCGGUACUGACGCUGAGGCGCGAAAGCGUGGGGAGCAAACAGGAUUAGAUACCCGUGUAGUCC